rnacentral:lncRNA from 1 species
GACACACGUACACGUCCCUUCGAUAGCUCAGCUGGUAGAGCGGAGGACUGUAGCUACUUCCUCAGCAGGAGACAUCCUUAGGUCGCUGGUUCGAUUCCGGCUCGAAGGAGACAAGUGCGGUUUUUUUCUCCAGCUCCCGAUGACUUAUGGCACUUUCCUUGGGUGCCUUCAGUGACACAUUGCAUUCCAACGAGCAGUUUGAAAGUCUAGCGCUUUCUCCCCAUUUUGGGCCUCCCAGCCUGCACGGGACUCAUCUGAGGCUAAGCUGCCCAUAGUUCGGGGAGACCCACAGGGAAAACAAAACAAGAAACAGAGAACUUGGAAACGGACGCUGAUUACUUUGAACGUUUGCUCAACCGAGGAAGCAGGAACUGUUCGGCCCCAUCUCAAGUCCGCAGGGCGGACUGCCUGGCUCUGGGCAGAUCCGAGGUGGAUAGGACAAGGCAAAAGGUAGCCCUGGAGAGGAUAACUAGGUGAUUUCUCCAAAUCGACUUUGUUUCAAAUACUUUCUAACAUUAG